rnacentral:rRNA from 1 species
UCGAGCGAGAACCGGGGCUUCGGCCCCGGGGACAGCGGCGAACGGGUGAGUAACACGUGGGUAAUCUGCCCUCGGCGCCGGGAUAUCCCGGGGAAACCCGGAUUAAUACCGGAUGUCCCCUCAGCCCUUCGGGGCGGUGGGAAAAGGUAGCUUCGGCCUCCGGCCGAGGAGGAGCCCGCGGCCGAUUAGCUUGUUGGCGGGGUAACGGCCCACCAAGGCGACGAUCGGUAGCUGGUGUGAGAGCAUGAUCAGCCACACUGGGACUGAGACACGGCCCAGACUCCUACGGGAGGCAGCAGUGGGGAAUCUUGCGCAAUGGGCGAAAGCCUGACGCAGCGACGCCGCGUGCGGGAAGAAGGCCUUCGGGUUGUAAACCGCUUUCAGGAGGGACGAAGCCACUCGGGUUAAUAGCCCAGAGGGUGACGGUACCUCCAGAAGAAGCCCCGGCUAACUACGUGCCAGCAGCCGCGGUAAUACGUAGGGGGCAAGCGUUGUCCGGAUUUAUUGGGCGUAAAGCGCGUGUAGGCGGCCACGCAGGUCCGCUGUGAAAACUCGAGGCUCAACCUCGAGCUGUCGGUGGAAACCGCGUGGCUAGAGUCCGGAAGAGGAGACUGGAAUUCCCGGUGUAGCGGUGGAAUGCGCAGAUAUCGGGAGGAACACCCGUGGCGAAGGCGGGUCUCUGGGACGGUACUGACGCUGAGACGCGAAAGCGUGGGGAGCGAACAGGAUUAGAUACCCUGGUAGUCCACGCCGUAAACGAUGGGCACUAGGUGUGGGAAGGUGUCGACUCCUUCCGUGCCGAAGCUAACGCAUUAAGUGCCCCGCCUGGGGAGUACGGCC